UAUGAAUAUGGUGUAGGUGGCUAGCACCCCGGCCCCUCAAGCCGGAAGCGCAGGUUCAACUCCUGCUGUUUAUAUC
rnacentral:tRNA from 1 species